UACGAAGGGGGCUAGCGUUGCUCGGAAUCACUGGGCGUAAAGGGUGCGUAGGCGGGUCUUUAAGUCAGGGGUGAAAUCCUGGAGCUCAACUCCAGAACUGCCUUUGAUACUGAAGAUCUUGAGUUCGGGAGAGGUGAGUGGAACUGCGAGUGUAGAGAUGAAAUUCGUAGAUAUUCGCAAGAACACCAGUGGCGAAGGCGGCUCACUGGUCCGGUACUGACGCUGAGGUGCGAAAGCGUGGGGAGCAAACAGG
rnacentral:rRNA from 1 species